rnacentral:rRNA from 1 species
GACAGAGGGUGCAAACGUUGUUCAGAAUCACUGGGCGUAAAGCGCACGUAGGCGGCUUCUCAAGUCAGGGGUGAAAUCCUGGAGCUCAACUCCAGAACUGCCUUUGAUACUGAGGGGCUCGAGUCCGGGAGAGGUGAGUGGAACUGCGAGUGUAGAGGUGAAAUUCGUAGAUAUUCGCAAGAACACCAGUGGCGAAGGCGGCUCACUGGCCCGGUACUGACGCUGAGGUGCGAAAGCGUGGGGAGCAAACAGG